UUGGAUUACAUGAGUCACACAAUCAAAACCGGAUAUUACUACUGGCACAAACUACAAAGAAAACAACAGGAAAUAGGAGGAAGAAAA